rnacentral:rRNA from 1 species
AUACGGAGGGUGCAAGCGUUAUCCGGAUUUAUUGGGUUUAAAGGGUGCGCAGGCGGAAUGAUAAGUCAGUGGUGAAAUCCUACAGCUUAACUGUAGAACUGCCAUUGAUACUGUCAUUCUUGAGUACACUUGAAGUGGGCGGAAUGUAUCAUGUAGCAGUGAAAUGCAUAGAUAUGAUACAGAACUCCGAUAGCGAAGGCAGCUCACUAAAUUGUAACUGACGCUCAGGCACGAAAGCGUGGGGAGCAAACAGGAUUAGAAACCCCAGUAGUCC